CCGGAGAGUUCAGACCGGACGGCUGAAACUCGGUUGGAACGUCUGGUGGAGCGGAAUAGCUCUCUGUCUCAGUAAUCUAAGAGCAGCUCGGAUGUUUUCGAGGUUGCUGAUGGGUUAACUAUUAUUGGGUACCUUAGGCAUGGAUGUUGCAGACGGAAGUCAUCUGCUGUAGAAGUCCGGACGGAAACUUUCUGUUGGAGAAAUCCGGCUGGAGUCCGA
rnacentral:lncRNA from 1 species